rnacentral:rRNA from 1 species
AGUCGAGCGGACAGAUAAGGAGCUUGCUCCUUUGACGUUAGCGGCGGACGGGUGAGUAACACGUGGGCAACCUGCCCCUUAGACUGGGAUAACUCCGGGAAACCGGAGCUAAUACCGGAUAAUCCCUUUCUCCACCUGGAGAGAGGGUGAAAGAUGGCUUCGGCUAUCACUAAGGGAUGGGCCCGCGGCGCAUUAUCUAGUUGGUAAGGUAACGGCUUACCAGGGCAACGAUGCGUACCCGACCUGAGAGGGUGAUCGGCCACACUGGGACUGACACACGGCCCACACUCCUACGGGAGGCAGCAGUAGGGAAUCUUCCGCAGUGGACGAAAGUCUGACAGAGCAACGCCGCGUGAGUGAGGAAGGCCUUCGGGUCGUAGAGCUCUGUUGUGAGGGAAGAAGCGGUACCGUUCGAAUAGGGCGGUACCUUGACGGUACCUCACCAGAAAGCCACGGCUAACUACGUGCCAGCAGCCGCGGUAAUACAUAUGUGGCAAGCGUUGUCCGGAAUUAUUGCGCGUAAAGCGCGCGCACGCGGCUUCUUAUGUCUGAUGUGAUAUCUCGGGGCU